rnacentral:rRNA from 1 species
UACAGAGGUCUCAAGCGUUGUUCGGAUUCAUUGGGCGUAAAGGGUGCGUAGGUGGCGUCGUAAGUCAGGUGUGAAAUCUCGGGGCUUAACUCCGAAACUGCAUUUGAUACUGCGGUGCUUGAGGACUGGAGAGGAGACUGGAAUUUACGGUGUAGCAGUGAAAUGCGUAGAUAUCGUAAGGAAGACCAGUGGCGAAGGCGGGUCUCUGGACAGUUCCUGACGCUGAGGCACGAAGGCCAGGGGAGCAAACGGG